rnacentral:rRNA from 1 species
GGGCUAAUACAUGCAAGUCGAACGCGUUGGCCCAAUUGAUUGAUGGUGCUUGCACCUGAUUGAUUUUGGUCGCCAACGAGUGGCGGACGGGUGAGUAACACGUAGGUAACCUGCCCAGAAGCGGGGGACAACAUUUGGAAACAGAUGCUAAUACCGCAUAACAGCGUUGUUCGCAUGAACAACGCUUAAAAGAUGGCUUCUCGCUAUCACUUCUGGAUGGACCUGCGGUGCAUUAGCUUGUUGGUGGGGUAACGGCCUACCAAGGCGAUGAUGCAUAGCCGAGUUGAGAGACUGAUCGGCCACAAUGGGACUGAGACACGGCCCAUACUCCUACGGGAGGCAGCAGUAGGGAAUCUUCCACAAUGGGCGCAAGCCUGAUGGAGCAACACCGCGUGAGUGAAGAAGGGUUUCGGCUCGUAAAGCUCUGUUGUUAAAGAAGAACACGUAUGAGAGUAACUGUUCAUACGUUGACGGUAUUUAACCAGAAAGUCACGGCUAACUACGUGCCAGCAGCCGCGGUAAUACGUAGGUGGCAAGCGUUAUCCGGAUUUAUUGGGCGUAAAGAGAGUGCAGGCGGUUUUCUAAGUCUGAUGUGAAAGCCUUCGGCUUAACCGGAGAAGUGCAUCGGAAACUGGAUAACUUGAGUGCAGAAGAGGGUAGUGGAACUCCAUGUGUAGCGGUGGAAUGCGUAGAUAUAUGGAAGAACACCAGUGGCGAAGGCGGCUACCUGGUCUGCAACUGACGCUGAGACUCGAAAGCAUGGGUAGCGAACAGGAUUAGAUACCCUGGUAGUCCAUGCCGUAAACGAUGAGUGCUAGGUGUUGGAGGGUUUCCGCCCUUCAGUGCCGGAGCUAACGCAUUAAGCACUCCGCCUGGGGAGUACGACCGCAAGGUUGAAACUCAAAGGAAUUGACGGGGGCCCGCACAAGCGGUGGAGCAUGUGGUUUAAUUCGAAGCUACGCGAAGAACCUUACCAGGUCUUGACAUCUUGCGCCAACCCUAGAGAUAGGGCGUUUCCUUCGGGAACGCAAUGACAGGUGGUGCAUGGUCGUCGUCAGCUCGUGUCGUGAGAUGUUGGGUUAAGUCCCGCAACGAGCGCAACCCUUGUUACUAGUUGCCAGCAUUAAGUUGGGCACUCUAGUGAGACUGCCGGUGACAAACCGGAGGAAGGUGGGGACGACGUCAGAUCAUCAUGCCCCUUAUGACCUGGGCUACACACGUGCUACAAUGGACGGUACAACGAGUCGCGAACUCGCGAGGGCAAGCAAAUCUCUUAAAACCGUUCUCAGUUCGGACUGCAGGCUGCAACUCGCCUGCACGAAGUCGGAAUCGCUAGUAAUCGCGGAUCAGCAUGCCGCGGUGAAUACGUUCCCGGGCCUUGUACACACCGCCCGUCACACCAUGAGAGUUUGUAACACCCAAAGUCGGUGGGGUAACCUUUUAGGAGCCAGCCGCCUAAGGGACGCUU